GGGGGGGUGGCUCUGUGAUAGAACCUUUGCUUUGCACGUGGAAGGUUCUAGGUUCAAUUCCCAGCACUUCCG
rnacentral:tRNA from 1 species